CCUACGGGUGGCAGCAGUGGGGAAUAUUGGGCAAUGGGCGCAAGCCUGAUCCAGCAACGCCGCGUGAAGGAAGAAGGCUUUCGGGUUGUAAACUUCUUUUAUCAGGGACGAAGCAAGUGACGGUACCUGAGGAAUAAGCCACGGCUAACUACGUGCCAGCAGCCGCGGGACUACGUAGGUUGCAAGCGUUAUCCGGAUUUACUGGGGGUAAAGGGCGUGUAGGCGGGUCUGCAAGUCAGAUGUGAAAACCAUGGGCCCAACCUACGGCCUGCAUUGGAAACUGGAGGUCUUGAGUACUGGAGAGGCAGACGGAAUUCCUAGUGUAGCGGUGAAAUGCGUAGAUAUUAGGAGGAACACCAGUGGCGAAGGCGGCUUGCUGGACAGCUACUGACGCUGAGGCACGAAAGCGUGGGGAGCAAACAGGAUUAGAUACCCCAGUAGUC
rnacentral:rRNA from 1 species